rnacentral:lncRNA from 1 species
GUGCGGAUUCACUCUACAGAAAUAGUUUCAGCUUCAGUGAUGAAAAGCUGAACUCUCCAAGUGUAUCUGCUCCAAGCUUGCCAUCUCCAUCAGUAACUCCAUGUAAAGCAAAGCUUGGAGACACAAAAGAACUGGAAGACUUCAUUGCUGAUCUUGACAGGACACUAGCAAGUAUGUGAAAUGAAUCUUUGGCGUUGUGCUUGCCUGCAAAUGUCUUCUGAAGGAUAAGUGACACCUGUCACUGAGAACUGCUGCCCUUGUCCGAUAACUUUGCUACCCAAGAUAUUUACCCUCUGAACAUAACCUUUGGAAACUCCUACAAGUAUUUAACUGGCAACAUCAGUCUUGUUACUUUGCAGCAGAUGGAGUUAUAUAACUUAAGUGUUACAGCUGUAUUUUGCUUUAAAAUAUAGCUUGAAUUUUAAUUUAAAGUUGCUUUUAUGAAAAUAUAUUUGUAAUUUU